UACAGAGGUGGCAAGCGUUGUUCGGAAUUACUGGGCGUAAAGGGCGCGUAGGCGGCCUUCUAAGUCAGACGUGAAAUCCCCAGGCUUAACUUGGGAACUGCGUCUGAUACUGGUAUGGCUCGAGUCCGGUAGGGGACCACGGAAUUCCUGGUGUAGCGGUGAAAUGCGCAGAUAUCAGGAGGAACACCGGUGGCGAAGGCGGUGGUCUGGGCCGGCACUGACGCUGAGGAGCGAAAGCGUGGGGAGCGAACAGG
rnacentral:rRNA from 1 species